rnacentral:rRNA from 1 species
AUGGCGAGCGGAGCCGUCGCGCCGCCGCCGCCGCUGGCCGGCGGGCGGCGCGGCUUCGGUGGCCGGGGAGUCCUCCUCCGCCGGCGCCUCGCCGCCACGCCGAUGAAAGAUGAACCCGUGGUCUCUACAAACGGUGGAAAAGAGGAAAUGAUUGCCCAUAGUGUUAAUGUUGCCAGAAAAGCAUCCAUUCCUGGAGUUUCAUCAAGUUUAUCCAAUAGGACAACAGUGACGACGCCAACACCUUUGCAUCCAGCAGAACCAUCUGAUCUCCGUUUCAAUCGUCUUCGACCCCCUAUUGAGAAAAGUGAUUGCAAAUACACAAGAUAUUUUGGUCGCUAUGUUGCUCGGGAGGCUAUAAUGGAUGAGGAAUACUGGAUUGCCGCAUGGUUGAGAGCAGAAGAUCAUUAUGAAGAUCAGUCAGGCGAUCGCUAUGUUGAAAGCUUCAAAAGAAAGUUUGCAUCACAGGAAUUUCAUGCUUUAAAGAAACGAUGUAGCAGGCAGGUUGGAGAGAAGUAUACCUGUUUUGUUGCGGUAAAGAAUGAUGACGUUACACGAACUGUGCUGAAUAGUGUUGUUGGUACGGUAGAUCUAUGUGUCAGGCAUCCUCUAUAUGGGGAGACAUAUCCCGCGGAGCCUGGAAACACGCCAUUUUACUCUAGAAUCUAUCAGCCAGAUCAGCCAAAAUUUGGAUAUUUAACCAAUGUUUGUGUUGCUAAGUAUGCACGGCGUCAAGGGAUUGCCAGCAACAUGUUGUUAUUGGCCAUUGAUGCUGCAAGACUCGAUGGUGCUGAAAGUAUUUAUAUUCAUGUACAUAAGGAUAACUUGCCAGCUCGGAGGCUCUAUGAUCAUGUAGGAUUCAAGAUGGUUGACAUGGAUGGUGCUCGCCAGUCAUCAGAUCUGUGCUUACUCUCCUUCAGUUCCACCCACUAG